rnacentral:rRNA from 1 species
AGUGAACGCUGGCGGUAGGCCUAACACAUGCAAGUCGAACGGCAGCACAGUAAGAGCUUGCUCUUACGGGUGGCGAGAGGCGGACGGGUGAGGAAUACAUCGGAAUCUACUUUUUCGUGGGGGAUAACGUAGGGAAACUUACGCUAAUACCGCAUACGACCUACGGGUGAAAGCAGGGGAUCUUCGGACCUUGCGCGAUUGAAUGAGCCGAUGUCGGAUUAGCUAGUUGGCGGGGUAAAGGCCCACCAAGGCGACGAUCCGUAGCUGGUCUGAGAGGAUGAUCAGCCACACUGGAACUGAGACACGGUCCAGACUCCUACGGGAGGCAGCAGUGGGGAAUAUUGGACAAAGGGCGCAAGCCUGAUCCAGCCAUACCGCGUGGGUGAAGAAGGCCUUCGGGUUGUAAAGCCCUUUUGUUGGGAAAGAAAAGCAGCAGGUUAAUACCCCGCUGUUCUGACGGUACCCAAAGAAUAAGCACCGGCUAACUUCGUG